AUGGCAGGAAUCAUGAUCAGCGCUUCAACCGGCGCCAUGAACUCCCUCCUCGGCAAGCUGGCCACCCUCAUGGGGGAGGAGUUCGCCAAGCUCAAGAACCUACGCAAGGAAGUGAAGUUCAUCAGGGAUGAGCUUGGCAGCAUGAAGGAUACUCUCGAGGUGCUCGGAGAUGUGGACAAGCUAGACCCCCAGACCAAGAGCUGGAGGGACACGCUAAGGGAGAUGUCUUACGACAUUGAAGAUAUCAUCGACGACUUUAUGCAUCACAUUGGGAAGAAAAGUGAAUCCCAAGAGCAUGGGUUUGCCAAGAAGACGGUUCGACUCCUAAAAAAGUUGAGAGUCCGCCAUCAGAUCGCUGGUCGGAUCAAGGAGAUCAAGGCACUUGUGCUUGAGAUAAGUGUGCGGCGCCAACGGUACAAGCUUGACAUUCCUCAAUCAAGAACUGUGGAAAUUGACCCACGAGUUGCAGUACUCUAUGAAAAUGCAGCCAAUCUUGUUGGUGUGGAAGGGCCAGUGGAGGAGCUUGAAAGCCUGCUAAAAGAUGAGAACGAGGAAUUCAAGGUGGUGUCGAUUGUGGGAUUUGGAGGUCUAGGCAAAACAACACUUGCCAAUGUGGUAUAUGGUAAGCUGAAGAAAAGUUUUUCGCACUGUGCUUUUGUGCCAGUCUCUCAGAAGCCAGAUAUCACAAAACUUCUCCAUGGUUUAAUGUCUCAACUUGGGUGUACACCAUCUUCUCAUCAUUACGAGUUAAAUGUCCUUCUGGACCGACUUAGGGAACAUCUACAAAAUAAGAGGUACUUUGUAAUAAUUGAUGAUAUAUGGGAUGUAUCAGCCUGGAAAGUUAUUAAAUGUGCUUUCCCAGAAAAUGAUCUUGGCAGCAGAGUAAUAGUAACUACAAGAAGUCUAGAAGUUGCUACGGCGUGUUGCUCCCUUCCCCAUGAUUACGUUUUACAAAUGAAGACUCUUAGCAACGAAGACUCAAGAAGGUUAUUUUUUGGUAGAAUAUUUGGCACAGAAGACGCUUGCCCUAACCAACUCAGAGAUGUUUCCGUUGAAAUCCUCAAAAAAUGUGGUGGCUUGCCUCUUGCAAUUAUUAGCAUAGCAGGCCUGCUAGCGAGUGAAGGUCCCAACAGAGAGGCAAAAAAAUGA
rnacentral:rRNA from 1 species